AUUGAACGCUGGCGGCACGCUUAACACAUGCAAGUCGAACGGCAGCAUGACUUAGCUUGCUAAGUUGAUGGCGAGUGGCGAACGGGUGAGUAACGCGUAGGAAUAUACCUUAAAGAGGGGGACAACUUGGGGAAACUCAAGCUAAUACCGCGUAAUCUCUGAGGAGAGAAGCUGGGGACCUUAGGGCCUGGCGCUUUAAGAAUAGCCUGCGUCCGAUUAGCUAGUUGGUGGGGUAAGAGCCUACCAAGGCGACGAUCGGUAGCUGGUCUGAGAGGAUGGUCAGCCACACUGGGACUGAGACACGGCCCAGACUCCUACGGGAGGCAGCAGUGGGGAAUAUUGGACAAUGGGGGGAACCCUGAUCCAGCAAUGCCGCGUGUGUGAAGAAGGCCUGAGGGUUGUAAAGCACUUUCAGUGGGGAGGAGUUUUGAUUGGUUAAGAGCUGAUUAAGAGGACGCUACCCACAGAAGAAGCACCGGCUAACUCCGUGCCAGCCGCCGCCGUAA
rnacentral:rRNA from 1 species